rnacentral:rRNA from 1 species
AACGAACGCUGGCGGCAUGCCUAACACAUGCAAGUCGAACGAGACCUUCGGGUCUAGUGGCGCACGGGUGCGUAACGCGUGGGAACCUGCCCUUAGGUUCGGAAUAACUCCCCGAAAGGGGUGCUAAUACCGGAUAAUGUCUUCGGACCAAAGAUUUAUCGCCUUUGGAUGGGCCCGCGUUGGAUUAGCUAGUUGGUAGGGUAAAAGCCUACCAAGGCGACGAUCCAUAGCUGGUCUGAGAGGAUGAUCAGCCACACUGGGACUGAGACACGGCCCAGACCCCAGGGGGGGGCAGAGGGGGGUAAGAGGAGAGAAGGGGGAAAGGUCGACCCACGCAGCGCCGGGGGAGAAAAAAGGGCUUUGGGGUUGAAAAUCUUUUUUCGCCGGAAGGAUAAUGACGGUCCGGGGAAAAGAAGCGCCGGCAACCCCGGUG